rnacentral:rRNA from 1 species
GAUGAACGCUGGCGGCGUGCCUAACACAUGCAAGUCGAACGAAGCACCUUACCUGAUUCUUCGGAUGAAAGUUUGGUGACUGAGUGGCGGACGGGUGAGUAACGCGUGGGUAACCUGCCCUGUACAGGGGGAUAACAGCUGGAAACGGCUGCUAAUACCGCAUAAGCGCACGAGGAGACAUCUCCUUGUGUGAAAAACUCCGGUGGUACAGGAUGGGCCCGCGUCUGAUUAGCUGGUUGGCAGGGUAACGGCCUACCAAGGCAACGAUCAGUAGCCGGUCUGAGAGGAUGAACGGCCACAUUGGAACCGAGACACGGUCCAAACUCCUACGGGAGGCAGCAGUGGGGAAUAUUGCACAAUGGGGGAAACCCUGAUGCAGCAACGCCGCGUGAGUGAAGAAGUAUUUCGGUAUGUAAAGCUCUAUCAGCAGGGAAGAUAAUGACGGUACCUGACUAAGAAGCUCCGGCUAAAUACGUG